UGAGUAACACGUAUCCAACCUGCCGUCUACUCUUGGACAGCCUUCUGAAAGGAAGAUUAAUACAAGAUGGCAUCAUGAGUCCGCAUGUUCACAUGAUUAAAGGUAUUCCGGUAGACGAUGGGGAUGCGUUCCAUUAGAUAGUAGGCGGGGUAACGGCCCACCUAGUCUUCGAUGGACAGGGGUUCUGAGAGGAAGGUCCCCCACAUUGGAACUGAGGCACGGUCCAA
rnacentral:rRNA from 1 species